GACGAAAAAAGCGUAUAAAGGUAUGCUUAGAUGGUUUGGCCAUGUAGAGAGAAUGGGUGAAGAACGAUUGACGAAAAAAGUGUAUAAGGCAAGUGUGGAUGGAAGGGUUGGAAGGGG